GACAGAGGGUGCAAACGUUGCUCGGAAUUACUGGGCAUAAAGCGCGUGUAGGCUGACCGGAAAGUCGGGCGUGAAAUCCCUGAGCUCAACUCAGGAACUGCACUCGAAACUCUCGGUCUAGAGUGGUGGAGAGGGAAGUGGAAUUCCUGGUGUAGAGGUGAAAUUCGUAGAUAUCAGGAGGAACACCGGUGGCGAAGGCGGCUUCCUGGACACCAACUGACGCUGAGGUGCGAAAGCGUGGGGAGCAAACAGG
rnacentral:rRNA from 1 species